GGGAGGCCGGGAGGGGUCCCUGGGCGGGGAGUUGCUGCGCAUCUGUUGUGUGUGUGCGUCUGUCUGUCUGUUCAGGUCUGUUUCAGACUACGUCUGCCUGUCUGUCCAGGUCUGUUUUAGGCUGUGUCUGUCUGUCUGUCUGGGUCUGUUUCAGGCUGUGUCUGUCUGUCUGUCCGGGUCUGUUUCAGGCUGUGUCUGUCUGUCUGUCCGGGUCUGUUUCAGGCUGUGUCUGUCUGUCUGUCCGGGUCUGUUUCAGGCUGUGUCUGUCUGUCUGUCCGGGUCUGUUUCAGGCUGUGUCUGUCUGUCUGUUUGUCUGGGUCUGUUUCAGGCUGUGUCUGUCUGUCCGGGUCUGUUUCAGGCUGUAUGUGUGUCUGCUCUUUGCUUCUGCUCCUGGCUCUGUGUGUAUUUCCCGGGUCCUGUGG
rnacentral:lncRNA from 1 species